rnacentral:rRNA from 1 species
AUGAGGACAACCAGUUUCCUACUCAUUGUUGUUGUUGUGAUCGUGUAUGCCAUCGGUGUACCAGCCACGGGCUGUGGUGAAUCGAUGGGAACCCGAUUGUGGAACACGACAGGAGCUAAUGGAUGGGAACCAAUCAAGAACAUAAAUGACAAACACAUCCAGGAGCUUGGCAAUUGGGCGGUGUUGGAAUUCAGCAAGCGUGUGAACUGCCUGGUCAAGUUCAACAAGGUGGUGAGUGGCAGACAACAACUCAUGUCUGGCAUGAACUAUGAGCUCACCAUUGAUGUGACACACUUUGAGGGGACAGAUGGAAAAUACAAGGCAGAGUUGCAUGAGCAGGAGUUGACCAAGAAACGCCAACUUCUCUCCUUCAUGAACGUGAACUAA